rnacentral:rRNA from 1 species
AAAUGAAUUGACGGGGGCCCGCACAAGCGGUGGGGCAUGUGGUUUAAUUCGAUGCAACGCGAAGAACCUUACCUGGUCUUGACAUAGUAAGAACUUUCCAGAGAUGGACUUGGUGCCUUCGGGAACUUACAUACAGGUGCUGCAUGGCUGUCGUCAGCUCGUGUCGUGAGAUGUUGGGUUAAGUCCCGCAACGAGCGCAACCCUUUUCCUUAUUUGCCAGCGCGUUAUGGCGGGAACUCUAAGGAGACUGCCGGUGAUAAACCGGAGGAAGGUGGGGACGCCGUCAAGUCAUCAUGGCCCUUACGGGAUGGGCUACACACGUGCUACAAUGGCAAGUACAGAGGGCAGCAAUACCGCGAGGUGGAGCGAAUCCCACAAAGCUUGUCGUAGUCCGGAUUGGAGUCUGCAACUCGACUCCAUGAAGUCGGAAUCGCUAGUAAUCGUAGAUCAGAAUGCUACGGUGAAUACGUUCCCGGGCCUUGUACACACCGCCCGUCACA